rnacentral:siRNA from 1 species
AGCACUUUGUGCAUCUCUGAUU